GCUGUUUCACAGGCAAUGCCGAUAGUGCGAGCGGUAGCCGGUCGAGCGCUCCACUAAUUUAAGCCUGCCGCUCGGUGCCCUAGCAGAUCAGCAUCGUAGCAAAACCCAGGGGUUGCGCGCUCAAGAGCUCAUCGUUU
rnacentral:lncRNA from 1 species